CAACUCUCGAUCGUGCAACACGUAUUAAUUCGCCCUCUUCAAUAAUAAAAUCUUCUUCCCGAGCAUUCGCGCGUUUGUCAUGAGCUUCAUUUACUGUUUUCUGGAAAGUGGCGUGAAGUGGAUUUACUGAUCAUACGCAAGAAGAGCAACAAUCGUAAGAGAUAUAAUUUAAACGGUUCAAGAAAGGACGGUAAACGGGAUGUGAGGUGUUGAGAAGAGGAGCGAAGAUUAGUCAUGUAUCGGCAUUUUUUUCGGCCUGGAUUGUCGCCGCGAAUCCUUCAUUGUCGUCGUGCUCUGAUGAUCCUCCUGUCAUCGAUUUGACAUUACCUGAUGAGCAUACCACAGAGCAUCCUCCAUGUCCGCCAUCAAUCGAGUCUCUUAUUACUGAUGAGUGUGUGAAAGUCCGACUGCCCCACCGAAGUCUUUGGUGCUCACGUGUGUCACCACCUUUCGGGCCAGGGGGAGUUUCGCCCGUUGUACGUGCGUGGUGUAUGGAUAUGUUCCAUCAGAUAUAUCCGGAAGAACAUUUACCUGACGUUCCUUGUCUUGAUUUUGACCUAUUCAAUGCAUAUUAGCAUAUCUUCUAUAAUUAUGUGUCGGAGAUGAAAGAACACCGGGGCCUUCCCUUCGGAAUUCUUGGGAAAACCCCAAUACUUCAGUCUUUGUGAUUUAACCCGAUUAUAAUCGUUCGAGAUUUGUGAUAAUGAGCUUGGGCUCGAAGUGACAAUUAGUCGCUAAACGUAGUCGCGGUAACGGAAUGAACGUUUUUACCUAAUAGAGGUAUGGAGUAAUAGUAUAGCUCUCCUUAAAAAGAAAUAGUUGUAGCGUCACUCGACAGUAAACAUUCGAACGGUUUCUGUUCCGUGGCUCGCCACACGCAGACCCUAUUCUUCAGGCAAGAUGAUUACCAGAUUUCGAUGCAUCUCCACAGUACAUGUUCAGGUAGCCUGAGGACUUGCUAUAAAUCUUAGGAUUUUGUCAACUAAGGUCCUUCAAACGGACAAACAGUCUUUAUCCUAACAGUCCGUAAAUCUAUCACCUACUACGGGAAGAUACGGGAAAUGUAUUUUUUUACGAACGAGGCUUCCCGCUAGCAACUUUCCCUCAAGGACGGCUAGUAUCCUUCUCUAACCACCAACAUGGAAAUUGACCAAUUAAUAGCAACGUCAAUUUCACUCAUUUUCCGAACGAAGGCUUUUCUCCACGAAUCCGAUGAUCUCGUGCCCUUAGACACACUCCAUCAUAGUUUUCCUCUACAGUGUCACCGUGACGGAGACACUCUCGCGUACGAUCUCACCGACGAUUUAAGUAACGUUUUUACGAGCAGUGAUUACUCCAUAUUUUAACUUAGAGUCCAAGACUGUAUUCCAAGACUGUAAUAACUCUACUUGUGUUAAUAAACUUCACCUUUGUUGUACCGCACCAAUGGCCAAUUCUAGUGAAGAAUAAUUAAACACCCCGAACCCUAAUCCUAAUACAAAUCCGACAUCAGAAGUGGGAUCAGGGCCGGUUGUAACAAUGCAACAGCUCAUGACCAUCGUGCGCGAGUUAACUCAGCCAAGAGAGCAAAAAUCGAGUGUGGAACCUAAAGAAUUAUCGCUACCGCGUUUUAAUCCCGGAAUCGCGGGCGCCGACCCGGCUACAUGGUGCGCAACUGUCAGUCUACUCCUACUACUACUACUACAGGACUAGUACGGUACUACAGUACUACUGCAGGAGGGAAAUAGUAGCUGGUUUUCGUCAAAAUCCUCAAAACUUCACUGCUGAUGCGGUGCUGAGCUUGCUUCGAAGCUAAAACAGGCGUGCGCUACAUUCGGCGUUUAAAAUUGGGUGAAAACAACAUUCGAACGUAAAGAUAUCUCAAACAGGCAUGAGCUAACAGCUACUUUUCUUCAAAAUCUUCAACAGAUGACAUUUUGCGUGUUGCUGGGCUUGUUGCUACGUUGAAACAUGCGUGCGCUGCAUUCGCCCUGUGUAAAUGGAGUGUAAACAGCUUUCAAACAUCAAAAUAUCUCAAACGGGAACGAAAUAAGAGCUAGUUUUCUUCAAAAUCUUCAAAAGAUUGCAUUUUGCGCGAUGCUGGGCUGGUUUGGAUGUUAAAACAGACGUCCGCUACAUUCAGCGUGUAAUAUGGAGCGAAAACAGCUUUCAAAAGUCAAUAUAUCUCAAACGGGAACGAAAUAAGGGCUAGUAUUAGACAAAAUCUUGGUAAGAUCGCAUUGUGCGCGAGGCUGUGAAUGUUCCGUAAUGUAUAAACAGUUAAUGUAUAAUAUAUAAUGUCCCGAAUAUAGAAACAGUGUUCAAACGUUAAAAUAUCUCAAAUGUGAACGAGAUAGCAGCAAAUCGCAAGCAAAAACUUAAAAAUAUUGCAUUUUGCGCGAGUACUGAGCUGGAUUGGACGCUAAAACAAGCGAGCACUUCAUUAGGCGUGUAACAUGGAGUGAAAAUAACGUUCUAAAGUUAAAAUAUCUCAAACAGGAAUGAGAUGACAGCUAGUUUUCUUUAAAAUCUUUAUCAGAGUGCACUUUGCGCGAGGCUGUGAAUGUUCCGACGCUAAAACAGGCUCGCACUACAUUCGUCGCGUAAAAUGGUGUGAAAACAGCGUUCUAAUGUCAAAAUAUCUCAAACUGGAGCGAAAUAACAGCAAAUCUCGACCAAAAUCUUGGGCUUGGCUUGUUUCGAUGUUAAAACAGGCGUGCACUAAAUUCGGCGUGUGAAGUAGAGUGAAAAGAGCAUUUAAACGUCGAAAUAUCUCAAACAGGAACGAAAUAACAGUUAGUUUUCGUGAAAAUCGACAAAAGAUUGCGUUUUGCGAGCUGCUGGAGUUGUUUCGACGCUAAAAGUGGCGUGCACUACAUUCGGCGUGUAAUGUCACGUCCCGCGCGCCGCACGUACUGUAACGGGAAAACAAAAAUAAAAACACUUUAAUAAAGAUUAACCCUUAGAGUGCUGAAUACUCGCGGCCUAUGCAGUCCGUACGAACGGCGCGCGGCCAGCGCUGAUGUAACAAGCUCAAGAGGGCAAGCCGCUCGGAAAUAGUAAUUAAGUAGACGAAACAUCCUGCAUGCCACAGCUAUCGAAAUAAUAACAAAACAGUAGUUGAAUAGCCGCCUCUGAUAUACAUCCGACAAUAACCCCUCCAAAGGGACUAAAACCUCACUAUAAGAACCCUCCUACAUCAGCGCUCAAGACCUUAUUCUGUUAUAACACUUUGAACCGUCACUCUGUUGGAUUUAUAUAAUAAAAUUUCCAUAAUCUUAUACGAAGUUCAAUUUCUUCACCUUAUUCGUAAACAUUCGAACUGCGACACGAGGAGAUUGUAACGUCAAUCCACAUUAGAGGGCAGAGAUGCGCGUACCCUCAAUUACUUCAAUGACCCACUGUUACGUCGGGGGGCACUCUACCUAGACCAGGCCACACACCGCGGGCAAGAUGGCAACCAGAUGUCCGCAUAUCCUUACUGCAUACCCUCAAUAGCCUUAAGGACCUAUCAUAAAUCUCGGGCAUUUUCUGACUAAAGUUCUUCAGACCAUACCGACAUCCCUUUACUGACUCGUUUCUAAAGUUUAUUGUUUACUACGGGAAGACACGGGAAAGUUAGUUUUUCUCACGUACGAUACUUCACACUAGCAACUAUCUAUCGAGGGCAGCUGAGACCCUUCCUAGUCCACCAAGUCUCUCUUAUCCAAUCAAAAGCAAUGUCUACUGCCCUCACUUUUCUAAUCAAAAUUGUCAUCAACAAAUUCGAUGGUCCCGUGUCCUUAGACACACCCACCCCUAACUUUCCCCAGACACAGUAUCGU